UUUCCGUAGGUGAACCUGCGGAAGGAUCAUUACCGAAUUGUUAAACGGGUUGUUGCUGGUCUUCAAACGGGGACAUGUGCACGCUCUGUUUACACAUCCACUCACACCUGUGCACCCUCCGUAGUUCUAUGGUCUGGGGGACCCUGUCUUCCUGGCGUGGUUCUACGUCUUUACACACACUCUGUAAUAAAGUCUUAUGGAAUGUAUGCCGCGUCUAACGCAAUACAAUACAACUUUCAGCAACGGAUCUCUUGGCUCUC
rnacentral:misc_RNA from 1 species